UUACACAUGCAAGUCGAACGGUAACAGGUUAAGCUGACGAGUGGCGAACGGGUGAGUAAUAUAUCGGAACGUGCCCWGUAGUGGGGGGAUAGCCCGGCGAAAGCCGGAUUAAUACCGCAUACGACCUACGGGUGAAAGGGGGGGAUCGCAAGACCUCUCGCUAUUGGAGCGGCCGAUAUCAGAUUAGCUAGUUGGUGGGGUAAAAGCUCACCAAGGCGACGAUCUGUAGCUGGUCUGAGAGGACGACCAGCCACACUGGGACUGAGACACGGCCCAGACUCCUACGGGAGGCAGCAGUGGGGAAUUUUGGACAAUGGACGCAAGUCUGAUCCAGCCAUGCCGCGUGCGGGAAGAAGGCCUUCGGGUUGUAAACCGCUUUUGUCAGGGAAGAAAAGCUCCGAACUAAUAUUUUGGGGUGAUGACGGUACCUGAAGAAUAAGCACCGGCUAACUACGUGCCAGCAGCCGCGGUAAUACGUAGGGUGCAAGCGUUAAUCGGAAUUACUGGGCGUAAAGCGUGCGCAGGCGGUUCUAUAAGACAGAUGUGAAAUCCCCGGGCUCAACCUGGGAACUGCAUUUGUGACUGUAGAGCUGGAGUGCGGCAGAGGGGGAUGGAAUUCCGCGUGUAGCAGUGAAAUGCGUAGAUAUGCGGAGGAACACCGAUGGCGAAGGCAAUCCCCUGGGCCUGCACUGACGCUCAUGCACGAAAGCGUGGGGAGCAAA
rnacentral:rRNA from 1 species